UAUUAAGCCCACAUGUUGUCCGAGGGAAAGGGAGGCCGCCAACAAAAAGGAAGGUUCCACCUGUGGAGAAGGCUGUGACUAGGCGAAAGAAGAAACAGACACGCCGGAAAAUAUUUGAUGAUACAUCCGAGCAAUGUGAGGUAUCGGAAGCUCCAAAAAGUGGUCAGAUAUCCAGUGCAGACAAGAAUGAUUUUGUUGUUCUAACACAAUGCAGUACUGUCGCACAACCAACGCCACCUGACAAUGAGUAGAUGCUCCAAGAAGACUGAUGUAUUUUGGGACACUGUAAUAUCCAAGAUUGUAGUUUGGUCUUUGUAAUGUUUAAUGUGUAGGUUGGGAGACUAUUAUGUAUUUUGGGAGGAAAAGCAGUUUUUAUGUGUAAUGUUUGGGAGACUAUGAUGGUUUAUGUGCAA